rnacentral:rRNA from 1 species
GGGAAAGCACGGGCCGGGAAUGGAAAGACCGGUACAAGCGGGGUAGGUGUACAAUAGGCAAAUCCGUUGUAUAAUCCGAAGACGUGAUGUGGAGCGAAAUAAAGUAGCAAAGCGUGUGAGCCAUGUGCCGAGAAAAGCUGCUAUUGUGUAAUGCGUGCCCGUACCGUAAACCGACACAGGUGGAUGAGGAGAGAAUCCUAAGGCCGACGGAAGAAGCAUUGUUAAGGAAUUCGGCAAAAUGACCCCGUAACUUCGGGAGAAGGGGUGCCUGCGAGAGCAGGCCGCAGAGAAUAGGCUCAAGCAACUGUUUAGCAAAAACACAGGUCUAUGCGAAACCGAAAGGUGAAGUAUAUGGGCUGACGCCUGCCCGGUGCUGGAAGGUUAAGAGGAGAGGUUAGCGUAAGCGAAGCUUUGAAUUUAAGCCCCAGUAAACGGCGGCCGUAACAUAACGGUCCUAAGGUAGCGAAAUUCCUUCUCGGGUAAGUUCCGACCCGCACGAAAGGCGUAAUGAUUUGAGCACUGUCUCGACAAUGCAUCCGGUGAAAUUGGAGUACCAGUGAAGAUGCUGGUUACCCGCGCCAGGACGGAAAGACCCCAUGGAGCUUUACUCCAGUUUGAUACUGGGAUUCGGUACUGCAUGUACAGGAUAGGUGGGAGACGAGGAAGGAUGGACGCCAGUCUGUCCGGAGUCGCUGUUGGGAUACCACCCCUGUAGUACUGGGUUUCUAACCAGUUGCCAUGAACUGGCAAUGGGACAAUGUCAGGCGGGGAGUUUGACUGGGGCGGUCGCCUCCGAAAGGGUAUCGGAGGCGCUCAAAGGUUCCCUCAGAAUGGUUGGAAACCAUUUGAAGAGUGCAAAGGCAGAAGGGAGCUUGACUGCGACACCGACGGGUGGAGCAGGUACGAAAGUAGGACUUAGUGAUCCGGUGGUAUAAAGUGGGAUUGCCAUCGCUCAACGGAUAAAAGCUACCCUGGGAUAACAGGCUUAUCACUCCCAAGAGUUCACAUCGACGGAGUGGUUUGGCACCUCGAUGUCGGCUCAUCGCAUCCUGGGGCUGUAGCAGGUCCCAAGGGUUGGGCUGUUCGCCCAUUAAAGCGGUACGCGAGCUGGGUUCAGAACGUCGUGAGACAGUUCGGUCCCUAUCCGGCGCGGGCGGAGGAUAUUUGAGAGGAGCUGUCCUUAGUACGAGAGGACCGGGAUGGACGGACCACUGGUGUAUCUGUUGUCGACCAACGGCAUGGCAGAGUAGCCAAGUCUGGAAGGGAUAAACGCUGAAGGCAUCUAAGCGUGAAGCCCCCUCAAGAUGAGGUAUCCCUCCUUCGGGAGUAAGACCCCUUGAAGACUACAAGGUAGAUAGGGCAGAGGUGGAAGCAUGGCAACAUGUGGAGCUGACUGUUACUAAUAGGUCGAGGGCUUAAU